rnacentral:rRNA from 1 species
UACAGAGGUCUCAAGCGUUGUUCGGAUUCAUUGGGCGUAAAGGGUGCGUAGGCGGCGCGGUAAGUCGGGGGUGAAAUCUCGGGGCUUAACUCCGAAACUGCAUUCGAUACUGCUGUGCUUGAGGACUGGAGAGGAGACUGGAAUUUACGGUGUAGCGGUGAAAUGCGUAGAUAUCGUAAGGAAGACCAGUGGCGAAGGCGGGUCUCUGGACAGUUCCUGACGCUGAGGCACGAAGGUCAGGGGAGCAAACGGG